rnacentral:rRNA from 1 species
AGCUCUGUAAGCGUAUACCAAAGUUGUUGCAGUUAAAACGCUCGUAGUCGGAUUUUGGGGCAGCCCGUGCUGUGCGCGUAGUGCGUGUGGCGCUGGGAUGUUCUUUUGUGGAGGGCGGCGCGUCGUGGCUUUGCUGUCGCGGCGUGUCGGCGCCACCGUUUACUGUGAAAAAAUUAGAGUGUUCAAAGCAGGCGUUUGCCGUGAAUACAUUAGCAUGGAAUAAUAGAAUAGGACUUGGUUUCUAUUUUGUUGGUUUGUGAGAGCCGAGUAAUGAUUAAGAGGGACGGUUGGGGGCAUUUGUAUUCCAGCGUCAGAGGUGAAAUUCUUGGAUUGCUGGAAGACAAACCGCUGCGAAAGCGUCUGCCAAGGACGUUUUCAUUGAUCAAGAACGAAAGUACGC